GACGAACGCUGGCGGCGUGCCUAACACAUGCAAGUCGAACGGGGUAAUUCCUUUGGGGAUUACUUAGUGGCGAACGGGUGAGUAACGCGUGAGAAACCUGCCUUUCAGUGGGGGACAACAGUUGGAAACGACUGCUAAUACCGCAUAACACUUUAGUACCGCAUGGUACAGAAGUCAAAGCUUUAUGUGCUGAAAGAUGGUCUCGCGUCUGAUUAGCUAGAUGGCGGGGUAACGGCCCACCAUGGCGACGAUCAGUAGCCGGUCUGAGAGGAUGAACGGCCACAUUGGGACUGAGAUACGGCCCAGACUCCUACGGGAGGCAGCAGUGGGGAAUAUUGGGCAAUGGGGGGAACCCUGACCCAGCAACGCCGCGUGAAGGAAGAAGGCCUUCGGGUUGUAAACUUCUUUUACCAGGGACGAAUUUUGACGGUACCUGGAGAAAAAGCAACGGCUAACUACGUGCCAGCCGCCGCAGUAAGAC
rnacentral:rRNA from 1 species